rnacentral:rRNA from 1 species
GAUGUACGCUAGCGGCAGGCCUAACACAUGCAAGUCGAGGGAGAAGCCCUUCGGGGCAGAAGCCGGCGCACGGGUGCGUAACGCGUAUGCAACCUACCUUUCACAGGGGGAUAGCCCGAAGAAAUUUGGAUUAAUACCCCAUAAUAUUAUUGGAUGGCAUCAUCUGAUAAUUAAAAUUACGAUGGUGGAAGAUGGGCAUGCGUCCUAUUAGCUAGUUGGAGUGGUAACGGCACCCCAAGGCUACGAUAGGUAGGGGUCCUGAGAGGGAGAUCCCCCACACUGGUACUGAGACAGGGACCAGACUCCUACGGGAGGCAGCAGUGAGGAAUAUUGGUCAAUGGUCGGAAGACUGAACCAGCCAUGCCGCGUGCAGGAAGAAUGCCUUAUGGGUUGUAAACUGCUUUUAUAUGGGAAGAAUAAGGCGUACGCGUACG